rnacentral:rRNA from 2 species
UUAGUGGAAGCGUCUGGAAAGGCGCGCGAUACAGGGUGACAGCCCCGUACACAAAAGCGCAUGUGCUGUGAGCUCGAUGAGUAGGGCGGGACACGUGGUAUCCUGUCUGAAUAUGGGGGGACCAUCCUCCAAGGCUAAAUACUCCUGACUGACCGAUAGUGAACCAGUACCGUGAGGGAAAGGCGAAAAGAACCCCGGCGAGGGGAGUGAAAAAGAACCUGAAACCGUGUACGUACAAGCAGUGGGAGCCCCACCACCAAAGCAUUCUCUGGUGUUGAAGGCCCUGCAAAGCAGCAUCGCGGUGGCGGAGCGUCGUUUGCGACGCCCAACACACAAAACAAGCGGUGAGUGCUUUGGGGUGGGGUGACUGCGUACCUUUUGUAUAAUGGGUCAGCGACUUAUAUUCUGUAGCAAGGUUAACCGAAUAGGGGAGCCGGAGGGAAACCGAGUCUUAAUUGGGCGUUAAGUUGCAGGGUAUAGACCCGAAACCCGGUGAUCUAGCCAUGGGCAGGUUGAAGGUUGGGUAACACUAACUGGAGGACCGAACCGACUAAUGUUGAAAAAUUAGCGGAUGACCUGUGGCUGGGGGUGAAAGGCCAAUCAAACCGGGAG